GUGAUACCCUACCAGGGCCUGUGGGAUCUAACUCCCACCUACCCGUGUCAGUUCACCUCCUGCCACUUUUCUUUUUGAAUAACUACCCUCUAGCCAUAUGAUCUCCUUUCUGGACCUAAAUAUGCCAGGCUCAUUUUCAUGUCAGUCUAUGUACUAGCUGUUCCCUCUACCUGGAAUACUUCUCUCCUGGGUCUGUGCAUGAAUAACUUUCUCUCCCCAUCCAUGCCUUUGCUCAAAGAUCAUGAAAUGUUCCUGUUCUGAUCAUUGUCUUCACUAUCCCUUUAUCCUGUCUGAUUUUCUCCUUAGCAAUUAGCAUGACGUAUUUCUUUGUUUAAUUAGUACCUACCCCACUGAAAUAUAAGAACCAGGAAGGGGAGCUUUACCUCUCUUGUUCCCUACUGUAUCCUAGUUCCUGGCACAUAGUUCGUGUUCAAUAUAUAUUUGCUAAUUGCAUUAAUGAAGACAUCUGAACUCAAUUUAGGUGACUGGUCAUUCUUUUUCCAUCUUCAUUGUCCUUUUAAAAAGACAAUGUCUUUGUGUUUUUUGGCUUAAAGUUAUUGUGUUGACAACGAAGAAAAUAAAACAAAUAGGACUGGGUAAAUUUUCUUUUCCUUGAAGAACGUUGGAUUAUCCUUCUAGAACCUGGAGAUAAACUUUUUGCAUCUUGCUCUGAAAUAAGGUUACAGAGAGACACAUUCCCUGGAGGGCAGAGGAAACUGGAACUGUCUGCUGAAAUUAAUGGCUUUCUGCCUCAAAGGAACUGGAAGGAGGGCCUCCCAGGUGACCAAGGAAUCCACGGUCUCCCAGGUAAACUGUAAGAGCAUGGAGGUAUGAACACAUCACGCAAGGCUAUGGGUGAGUCGAGAUGGGAUUUGUGACUGGAGAGAGCCUCCGGGCCAGGCUGUGGUAAACACCAUCCAGGAUCCAAAACAAGAUGUGAGGAGAAGCGCAUUUCCUCUGGAGUCAUCUUCUGCCUCAUCCAAAACACUUUGCGUUUGAAAAAACACACACUCACUCUCUCUCUCUGAAGAGACCAGCCAAGAUCUGACCCCAGCCAAGAUCCAAAAAGGAGAGUGAGGGAAUAAAUGGGAUGAUUUGGACACAGAUGUUUGAAUAGAUUUCUCCUUAGGAGAGUUGAAUGGCUUAGGGAGACGGCAGAUAGAAACAUGCGCACAUAUACACAUCACUACCAAGGAUAAAGUCGGGUUGGUGCUAAUUUCUCCUUGUAUUGCAUUUCUUAAUCUUUGCUCUCGAAUGGGUCUUCCAG
rnacentral:lncRNA from 10 species